GGUUGCGAUCAUACCAGCACUAAUGCACCGUAUCCCAUCAGAACUCCGCAGUUAAGCGUGCUUGGCGAGAGUAGUACUAGGAUGGGUGACCCCCUGGGAAGUCCUCGUGUUGCAACCC
rnacentral:rRNA from 1 species